UUUGUUGCUGUUACACUCUCCUAACUUUCUCGGGAGUUUUUCGUUCAUAUCUACGUUCAUCUGGAAUUCAGACAAAACUAGGGCAAUUUGGAUGCAAUCUUCAAGGUGUAUACAGUAAACCAAGAUUCACCAAAUGCAAUAAGAGCGUCUAUAAACACAAAAUGUUAUCAGCUAAACUUCCAGUGGUACAAGCUCACAGGGGUAGUACCAUGGCGCCCCAUCAGUCCAACAAGGAAACUUAUGAGUCCUAAUAUGGACCUCGAAACAACGAGAUCCUAAGAGGACUGGCAUGAAAAAAUUAAUCAAAUCAGGAGAAACUGUGUGGGAUACUUCUAUCAGAGCCAGCACGCUAGUAACAUUGGUCAUCUAGAACUGUGGGAUGUGGAUGUGACAACUGAUGCUGAGAACAGGGUACAGAGUUAGAGGGAAGUAACUGAUAAGCUUAGAAUAAUGUAAAAAAAAUGAGACUGCUGAAGUGCUUAUCGCACCAGUGUUGGAACAGACAACUAUCUGACCAUCAUGGAGGAUGA